ensembl:lncRNA
CUCCCAGUAACUUUCAUGAUGAUGAUGAUGGCUGAUCUGUAUGGAGAAGCUGAUGUGUGCUAGGUGUCUUUGGGAACUUUGUGUGUGUUAGUAUCCAUAUGACCUCAUUAGCAGAAACUCCGAUUUGCAUCCUGCGCAUGAGGAGACAGAGGCACAGAGACGCUGACUGAUAAGACGGGCUUGGGGCCAAGUUGCCUGGAUGUGUCGAGCACAGCCGGUGCCUGGCCGAGUCGCCUUUAAUGAUUGGCCUGAGCGCUUAGCCCGGGGCUGCCUUCAGCGGGCCAUCGGCCAGCUCGCCACCUCUGCUCAACAUUUAUCUCUAUUAGAAACCCAGAUUGGAGAGUUGCCACCAGCUUCUGAUGUCAGAUAGUGUGGCGUGCAGAGACACAUUAAUAGAUGAGGAUAGGAGACAGAACCGCAGCUUUUGGCCUGUCUGCGGCAGACAGACGACAGACUGGAGGGCACCCAGCUUCUGAACAAAUGAAAGGCGUUUCUGUAGAACCGUGGCUAGCAGUUUUCAAAUCCAAGCAUGUGCUCUUUCGUGCCCAGUACUGUGCUAGGCAGACAGAAUAGAAAACAUAAAAGAAGCAGAAAAGGACUAUUAUCCGUUGCAGCGCUACCUGCAGUUUUGUUGGGGAGCUUCGACAGCACGCUGGCAGUCACAGGCUGUGGGCACAUGUGAGCACAGCUCAAGGUGCGCUGUUCAGAUAACAAAUAUUAGGGGGGCUUCAUACUGCACAAAGGAGAGUGGGCCUCACACAAGGGAAACCGCGGCUGCUUCAACAGCUCGCUCACCCACGAGCCCUGGGAAAUAGAAAGUGCCAUCCUGCAUUUACCAUCUCCACAGCCCUGAAAUACUGCAUGGCUCUCAGCCCGGAGUUAGAAAUCGGCCGGUGACACUGUUCUGCGUUGACUGUUGAUUCACAGAAAGUGAUUUAGCAGCUAUGGAUAAGUGUCGUGUGGAGUGAAGAUCCUGGAUUCUGCUGCCAGACUGUGUGUUUGGAUCCCUGCUUAUCAGAACCGCACUAGAGCUGUUUGCAGAUGUGUGUGCACCUUGAGGAAAAGAACGGCAGAACCUUCUGCAAGAGAAAGAAGGAAAAGAAAAAGGCCCCUUUCUUUAAUCUACCAGAAAGAAGAAAUUACCUCAGUGCGUGUUCCUGCUGGUAUAAAUAGCAGUAUUAGGCGGGAAAAAAAAGCUUGUUUCUCCAUGACUGAAAAACAUUCAGGACACAGAACCUGGACUCCAGCCCUUCUCUAUUUCCCUGGUUACUUUAACACUGUGAGCUUUGGACUCCAGGGAGAAAGUCUAAAAAUACUGUGGCCUAUUUGUUCAAAAGCAAGUAGCAAAGAUGGAAGGGGCCUGCUAUUGCCUAAAGGGAAAAACGGAAUAAAAAAUCUUAAUCUUUUCAUUUUUAAACUCUAAACCAAAGCCAGGCCUUGGAAUAUUGUUCUUUGUUUUUAUUUUUAAUAGGCAAUGUGGAGACAUGGUAAUACAGAUUCAAACAGCACAAAAGGAAAUAUAUUGAAAAGUGAUUCUCCCUUCCAACCCUGCCCACCAGGACUCCAGUUCCCCUUCCCUGAGCUUCUGAAGAUACUCCUGAUGUCAGUUUCGUGGAUCCUUCCAUAGAUGAUAUCCUCUGCGUAUCUAAGCGUGUGUGUGUUCCUGGAUGUGUGUGUUUAUACACGAGCAUCUUCACCGAGCUCUGACUUCCUUUUUUUUAACAUAAAUAGUUGUGUUCUAUACACAUUCUCCUGCUGCUUGCUCUUCUUUACUUAAAAAGAUGUCGUAGAGACAAUUUCAUAUUAGGGCAUAGAGACCAGUCUUCUUCAUUUAAUAGCUGUGUAGAAGAACACUGAGGUGUGUAUCAUAAUUGUAACCAGCUUCCUGCGGGUGGGGAUUUAGUCCCUUUUGCCUCACUGGCUCCUGAAAUGUUGGAAUGAACAUUGCACGUAUCUCUUAUUGUGGAAAGUAUUCUUAGAGCUUAAACUGCCAUUAUGUGAAUUGCUUCUCACAUCUCUCCUCUCCUAUGGUUGCAAAAUUUCUCCUCGGCUCAGCAGAAAACUUUGGCAGACUUAAUUAUAUUUUAUUUUUGAAAUAUUAACUGUAUGUCAGAGUACAGUGCUGCUUCCUGACUGUGGGAUUUCUCUCUGGUUUAGUUUAGCUGUUACCAGCCUUGCCAGGGAAGACAAAAGUUUGAGCUGUGUUUCCAUAUGGCCCCUAGAUUUGUCACUGAGCAAAUAUGACCCUUUCUGCUGCGGUGGUGUGGUCAGCUUAAAGGCCUAAGGAAAUGAAUUCCAGCGAUGUUGAGGAACCACCUCUGACUCAGGGCUUUCUCAGUGCAUGGAAUUUCUGCCUCUGCAUUGAUAAGGUCAUACAUAUGUAUGUACCAGAACUCAGAGUUCCCCAGGGCCCUGGUUUCCAGCUCUGAAUAAAUAGAAACUGGAGCGCA